GGGCGGGGCCAUCCAGGGGUGGGAUUAGCCCCAACCAGCUGAAUCCUACCUGUUCCUUUGGGGCAAGUGGCCAGGAGGCGGGGCUGGGUGUGAUGAGUGACAUCACCCACCCAUUCACAUGACGAACUGGCCAUGCCUAGCCAGCCAGAGAAC